rnacentral:rRNA from 1 species
CCUACGGGAGGCAGCAGUGGGGAAUAUUGCACAAUGGGGGAAACCCUGAUGCAGCGACGCCGCGUGAGUGAAGAAGUAAUUCGGUAUGUAAAGCGCUAUCAGCAGGGAAGAAAAUGACGGUACCUGAGUAAGAAGCCCCGGCUAACUACGUGCCAGCAGCCGCGGUAAUACGUAGGGGGCAAGCGUUAUCCGGAUUUACUGGGUGUAAAGGGAGCUUAGACGGCAGUGCAAGUCUGAGGUGAAACGCGGGGGCUAAACCCCCGGACUGCUCUGGAAACUGUACGGCUGGUGUGCAGGAGAGGUAAGUGGAAUUCCUAGUGUAGCGGUGAAAUGCGUAGAUAUUAGGAGGAACACCAGUGGCGAAGGCGGCUUACUGGACUGUAACUGACGUUGAGGCUCGAAAGCGUGGGGAGCAAACAGGAUUAGAUACCCCAGUAGUC